UACGGAGGGGGCUAGCGUUGUUCGGAAUUACUGGGCGUAAAGCGCACGUAGGCGGCUUUGUAAGUCAGAGGUGAAAGCCCAGGGCUCAACCCUGGAAUUGCCUUUUAGACUGCAUCGCUUGAAUCAUGGAGAGGUCAGUGGAAUUCCGAGUGUAGAGGUGAAAUUCGUAGAUAUUCGGAAGAACACCAGUGGCGAAGGCGGCUGACUGGACAUGUAUUGACGCUGAGGUGCGAAAGCGUGGGGAGCAAACAGG
rnacentral:rRNA from 1 species